GAGUUUGAUCAUGGCUCAGAUUGAACGCUGGCGGCAUGCCUUACACAUGCAAGUCGAACGGCAGCAUGAUCUAGCUUGCUAGAUUGAUGGCGAGUGGCGAACGGGUGAGUAAUACAUCGGAACGUGCCCUGUAGUGGGGGAUAACUAGUCGAAAGAUUAGCUAAUACCGCAUACGACCUGAGGGUGAAAGUGGGGGACCGCAAGGCCUCAUGCUAUAGGAGCGGCCGAUGUCUGAUUAGCUAGUUGGUGGGGUAAAGGCCCACCAAGGCGACGAUCAGUAGCUGGUCUGAGAGGACGAUCAGCCACACUGGGGACUGAGACACGGCCCAGACUCCUACGGGAGGCAGCAGUGGGGAAUUUUGGACAAUGGGCGAAAGCCUGAUCCAGCAAUGCCGCGUGUGUGAG
rnacentral:rRNA from 1 species